AAGCCUAUGCACAGGAACUCCAAGUGCAAAUGCUGCAUUGAAAAGGAGAGCCCCCAUGUGAAUCUUUAAACAAUGCCUUUUAGCUAGAUCUCCAAUUAUAUCUAUAUAAUCUACAAAUAGGAUCUACCACCACAGAUGUCUUGUGAAUUCUCGAAAUAGAUAAGCCUAGUAGGCUAGUAGCUAGACACACAAGCCCCCCUCUCUCAGAUCUCUAAUUGCAGCUUCAAAUUAAAUAAAAAACCACGGCUCCAUCAUUGUUAUUCAGCACUAUCCUUUGAUGCACACCUCCAAGAGUUGAAA
rnacentral:misc_RNA from 1 species